CUGAACCAUUCAUACUGAAUUAGAUUUGUGCAUUAAACUUAUCUCCUGCUUUAAUGUUUUAAUUUAAAAUAUCAACACUACAAUUCUUGAAAUACUGCAAAAAAUAUUGAUAUUUUGUUUCUUUCUCAUUUUAAGGUUUUAGACUUAGUUAUGCUUAAGAAAUUACAGUUUUCUGACUGUAAAUAAUGCGAAGGUGACUCGCAAUAACACUGUCCAAAAAGAGGAAACAGAAAUGAAAUGGGCGUGUAGGGAAAGCAGAAGGAGAGGUGAGGAAUGUUUGCCCCCCGGGCCAGAUUUUCACUCGCCUCGCUAACUGUUUCACACGUUCACCUGCAGUAGCGUUCGAUAUUCUUCCGAUCGAUGAGCGAAAAGGCACAAAGGCAGAACCAGACGGACCUCCGACGCGGCCCCUCCACACACUGGCUCACACGCACAGCCGCACACACUCCACCCAAACCCGCGACCCACCCCCUCCACCCCAGGUCCGCCGACGAGCACAGAGCAAGGGUUACCUCAAGGGUUAGCUCAAGGCUGCUCCCUGGACCGUGCAAAGUGGUCUGGACCGCUGACCUGCUGGACGACUUCCCGCGGAUGGCCGGGUGAGCGCCGCUGUCGCGACGACGAGGAAUCCAGGAGCAGCACCUCUUCUCGAUGGGGGAGCGGUAAGGAGGGAGGGGGAGAGAAGGCGACCGCUUCCAUGGUUACGGGCCAGGAACGGGGACCCCGCUAUUGAGGACUCUCCGUUCUCAUGCCCCUGGCUGGGGCAGCGUGACGUUGCGCAGGCCGUGGCGGCUCCGGAUGGUUCUCCCCCCGCAAAGCGGAGCUGCUCUUUCAGAGCGAAAGCCAAGCCACGGCACACCGCCGUUUGCAGGAAGGAGAGAAGCAGGGGAGACGGAGGGGGGCGCCGAAUGAAGAGUGCACAUCACAUGAUCCUCGUGAAAGCAGCUUCUUAUUUCACAUGUGGAGUGAAAACUAGCCUUCAGAUGACACCAUUGCAAGAAAAUUACAACUUGGUAAGUACUGGAACUAUUGCCAUUGUUUUUUUUUUACCAGAUGUGAAUCAAUUUCACUAAACUGCAGUAUUCUUCAAUAUAUGAAAUUAAACUUUUGUACAGUUGUGACCGUGUCCUGCUGCUGACUAGCCUUAGCAGUCUGAUUCGGAUUUAUGUAAACAAUAGUUAUACAUUUAUAUAAUAUGGAUACAUAUCAGUGUAUAUCUUUUUUCAAGUGCUUUCCAGUUUUUGUGCUGUCCUCGCCUCUGUUUUAUAUAAGUUCUUCAGUAUUUUCACCCGUAGUUGGUACCAUUUUUACUGGGCUGCUCAAAUCAUUUUGGUGAUGUCUUGUAACCCGUAGGGAAUGACAGUGAAAUUACACUGCUGUUGGCCUUUUAACUGCAAAGAAUCUCUGGAUCUCCUCCCUCAGCCCAGUUGAACAAAUAGCUUCUCUACUUUGUUCUGGCCUUUGAAAUUAACCUUUGUGUAAUAUAUAUUCUGUUCCCUGAGACUUAAUCUGAGUUUUAUUUGGAAUUUUAAAAGCUACGGCUAUAGACUGAGGGUACAUAAAACAUCCACCCAGUAUACUUCUAGGUCCAGUACAUCAUGGAUGGAGGUCAUUCAUAGAACUGCUUCAUCAUGGAUCCAGUUUGUUGAAUGGACUUGUUUUGCCAUUAAUUUAAUGACAUUAAACUUUGACUGCCAGGCCAGUUUUUAUUAUCAGUGUAGUUGGGCUGUACUGCAC
ensembl:lncRNA